CGGGCGCUCAGCUGUCAAGUUCUAGUCUACCGCGGGCCAGAAGAACCGUGGAUCAGAAGCUGCAUGCAACUAGCCGACCAAGCAAACAUACUACCACAUGCCAAGACCUUGGUGAUUACUCCAAGCAAACAUACUACCGAGCUCAGUGCUUUCUUUACCACGUCCAGGGUUCCACUCAGUGAUGCUGGAGGCUCUCACGUACGUCAAGGCUGGCUGGUAUGAUCUUCCAGAUGGCCGGGCAGGAAGCAAAUAUGCUCUCGCAGAUGGUCAGCUCUUCUAGGGACCCUGAUGUUGGGGAGAAGAUUGCACACGAUACAAGAUGCUCGUUGGCGUUGAUGUUGAUGACACUGGUGUCGCUGCAGAGUGUAGCUGUCAGGGCAUUUCUGGAGACAAGGACCUGCUUCAACGCGAACUGAAGCAAGAAGUGAGGCGCGGAUUGAAUUGAACGUGAACUAAAAAAAAGGCUAAAAAGAUUU